UACGUAGGGUGCAAGCGUUAAUCGGAAUUACUGGGCGUAAAGCGUGCGCAGGCGGUUAUGUCAGACAGGUGUGAAAUCCCAGGGCUUAACCUUGGAACUGCAUUUGUGACUGCAUAGCUAGAGUACGGUAGAGGGGGAUGGAAUUCCGCGUGUAGCAGUGAAAUGCGUAGAUAUGCGGAGGAACACCGAUGGCGAAGGCAAUCCCCUGGACCUGUACUGACGCUCAUGCACGAAAGCGUGGGGAGCAAACAGG
rnacentral:rRNA from 1 species